CAAAUACACAACACUUCCCAACCCCAGGUCGGGGGCUGCCGUGGCAGGGGAGAGAGGGCACAUCCAUUGCAUUAGGAAGGUCCUGUGCAGGGCUGUUCCCAUUGUAAUACUGUUGCUAGUGUUUGUGUACCACUGUCCUGAUGGAUUGAAUGUCAGACCGGCUCAAGUGUGUGUGAUCACAACUUCCUCUAGUGCUGUCCUACAGAUGGCCAGUGUGUGAGGCACUUGAGAUGAGAUUUGCAGACGUUUUGAGUGCUCACAAUUGCAACUGAAGUCUGUUGGAGCUGUGCACUGAAUAUACAAAGCACUAUAAAAAAUGCUACAUAUCCUGAAAAAUCAAGUCAUACGUGUCUCAGAUCGACCUGUCUCCUGUUUGUGUUGUAAUGAAACAAUGUGACACUUUCAACAAAAAGAAGAGAUAAACACUAAUGAGAACUAGAGGAACAGCUUUUUCAAUAUUCUUGUCAUUUUUUCAAUAUUCAGAGUCAUUUUUCUAGAAUAUUUAAGAUGUUUCAACUAGUAUAUCUAGGA